rnacentral:rRNA from 1 species
UGACGGGGGAGCAAGCGUUGUUCGGAUUUACUGGGCGUAAAGGGCGCGUAGGCGGCCAGCACAAGUCAGUUGUGAAAUCUCCGGGCUUAACUCGGAAAGGUCAACUGAUACUGUGCGGCUAGAGUGCAGAAGGGGCAACUGGAAUUCUCGGUGUAGCGGUGAAAUGCGUAGAUAUCGAGAGGAACACCUGCGGCGAAGGCGGGUUGCUGGGCUGACACUGACGCUGAUGCGCGAAAGCCAGGGGAGCGAACGGG